ACAUCAGCUGAGCAUUUUGGCACAUUUAGAACAUUUUUGCACAGGCUUUGCUUUCAGAGAGUGAGGGGCUUUGCAAGCAACAGCUAGAAGAAUCCAUUUCCCUUCUGUUUUCCUUGCUGGGUUAUCUUGUGUUUUCACAGGCACCCCGAGUCAGAUGAAGUGCACCCUCAGCAUAGUACUACCAAUGGGCUCUCCACCUCCAUGCUGCCUGAGCCAUGCAGGGCCAUUGCUCUUUGCUUUUGCUCUUGCCAGUCCAAUCUGCCCCUGCCCGUUAGCUAGUUCUCUCUCCAUUUUUCUUCUUUUGAACCUGGCAGCAUUGGCAUCUCCUCCUCCUCCUCUUAUUCUAGCCCUGUGCCCUGCUAGAGAUGUUGGAAAAAUCCAAACAGGAUUCAAUUGGCUUCAAAUAUCUAUGAAUCCAGCCCUCAGAUUCUGCCUUGUACCACCAUCUUCCAAUUCAUGUGAACUUACAGAUCAUUUCUCGACUUUCCGAAAUCAUAGAUAAACUUAGAAGUAGGAACAUACAAAAGUUAUUGGAUAUAUAUACAUCCAAACUCACACACUAUAUAUGAGUUUAAAAUGCACACACAACUUUUUAUUAAUCUCUGCAGCUUCUGCUGUCUAAUUCUGCUUUUUCUAUGCUCUGCUUAUUGAUUGUACCCUGAGCUAAGAAAAAUAUUAAAAGUUAAGUGAAAGUAAAAGUUAUAUAAAUUGCAGCAGUUCUUUUGUGUACUUUUCUGUAGGGGGAAAAAUCCAAUUUCAUCAAUAAGCACACAGUGGAAUGUUUCCUAACAAUCUCCAAAGCAGACUAGAUUAAACAAAAUCUCUGUAUUCCUACUCUUCACCUUGCUGGUCCCACUGGAAAAAGAAAGCACCCUGUGCUGGAACUGCAAGAAAUAGAAAGAACUGGAAGAAAAGUAGAAAGGAGAAUGCUCCAGUACUCACAGCCUGAUCCUAUCCAUGAUGACUCAGAGCCAUGUUGCACGAGCUGCAGAAAUGAAGAACUUGUUCAUUCUUUCCUGAGACUAAUGAAUGCUUUCCUUUAAACUUUAUGCAAGAAGCAGAAAUUUUCUAUUUUAUCCAGCCUUAUACUUCACUGAACAUACAAGGAGUGAUCGUGUCCCACUUAGGAGAAAACGAUGCAAAGGAAGAAAGAA